CAUAAAUGAAUGCCUUUUUUUAUUUUUUUCUCUCUCUGUUUUUCAUAUAUCUUUUCGCGCUCUCUCUCCUUCCAUGCUUGACCAAGUAAAGGGGAGAGGAGAAGCAGGUAAAGAAAGGGAA
rnacentral:ribozyme from 1 species